AGCUCUGUAGUGAAGUUCACAUCAAAUUGCAAAUUUGAAGAUAUGUCUUAGUAGUGAUAUCAGGGCUU
rnacentral:tRNA from 1 species